UUCAGCACCAGUUUCAGCGGUUUUUCCACAUAUUCUUAAACCAGCAGAGAAACAAACCGAAGAAGAGGUAGAUCCUGGUAACAUCAGAAAUAUGCAGAGGCCAUGGCAAAGCACAGGAGGCAAGUGUGCCAAAUAUUUCAGAAGAAGGUUUCUGUUGGGAAAAUUAAACAGGAUUCAGCUGGAUCCACAUAGCUUCCCUCACAAGUGGAGAUCGAUGGACAAAUGAGAUUUAUCCAUCAUCCCUGCUUUUCCCCAGUCAAGUGGAGGAUUUGGAGCAAAAGAAGAGAGAAACCUGAACAGCGAACAAACUGGAACUGAAGCCUGUCUUAGCAGCUGC